rnacentral:rRNA from 1 species
UACGUAGGUGGCAAGCGUUGUCCGGAUUUAUUGGGUUUAAAGGGUGCGUAGGCGGCUUUGUAAGUCAGUGGUGAAAUAUGGCAGCUCAACUGUCAAGGUGCCAUUGAUACUGCGGAGCUUGAGUACAGAUGAGGUAGGCGGAAUUGACGGUGUAGCGGUGAAAUGCUUAGAUAUGACAUAGAACACCAAUUGCGAAGGCAGCUCACUACACAAAGAUUGACACUGAGGCACGAAAGCGUGGGGAUCAAACAGG